rnacentral:rRNA from 1 species
GAUGAACGCUGGCGGCGUGCCUAAUACAUGCAAGUCGAGCGAACGGACGAGAAGCUUGCUUUUCUGAUGUUAGCGGCGGACGGGUGAGUAACACGUGGAUAACCUACCUAUAAGACUGGGAUAACUUCGGGAAACCGGAGCUAAUACCGGAUAAUAUUUUGAACCGCAUGGUUCAAAAGUGAAAGACGGUCUUGCUGUCACUUAUAGAUGGAUCCGCGCUGCAUUAGCUAGUUGGUAAGGUAACGGCUUACCAAGGCAACGAUGCAUAGCCGACCUGAGAGGGUGAUCGGCCACACUGGAACUGAGACAACGGCCAGACUCCUACGGGAGGCAGCAGUAGGGAAUCUUCCGCAAUGGGCGAAAGCCUGACGGAGCAACGCCGCGUGAGUGAUGAAGGUCUUCGGAUCGUAAAACUCUGUUAUUAGGGAAGAACAUAUGUGUAAGUAACUGUGCACAUCUUGACGGUACCUAAUCAGAAAGCCACGGCUAGCUACGUG